rnacentral:rRNA from 1 species
UACGGGGGGAGCAAGCGUUGUUCGGAUUUACUGGGCGUAAAGGGCGCGUAGGCGGCCAGUGCAAGUCAGUUGUGAAAUCUCCGAGCUUAACUCGGAAAGGUCAACUGAUACUGCUCGGCUAGAGUGCGGAAGGGGCAACUGGAAUUCUUGGUGUAGCGGUGAAAUGCGCAGAUAUCAGGAGGAACACCGGUGGCGAAGGCGGGACUCUGGGCCGAUACUGACGCUGAGGAGCGAAAGCGUGGGGAGCAAACAGG